rnacentral:rRNA from 1 species
AACGAACGUUGGCGGCGUGGAUGAGGCAUGCAAGUCGAGCGAGAAAGCACCUUCGGGUGUGAGUACAGCGGCGAACGGGUGAGUAACACGUAAUCAAGCUGCCCUGGAGACUGGGAUAACAGUGGGAAACUACUGCUAAUACCCGGAUGGUGCUAUUGGAUCGCAUGUUCCGAUAGCUAAAGGUUGGGAUCCUGCGGGACCUUCCACUCCAGGAGGUGAUUGCGGCCUAUCAGCUAGUUGGUGUGGUAACGGCGCACCAAGGCGACGACGGGUAGCGGGCCUGAGAGGGUGGCCCGUCACACUGGGACUGAGACACUGCCCAG